UACGGGGGGGGCAAGCGUUGUUCGGAAUUACUGGGCGUAAAGGGCGCGUAGGCGGCCUUCUAAGUCGAACGUGAAAUCCCUGGGCUCAACCCAGGAACUGCGUCCGAUACUGGAAGGCUUGAAUCCGGGAGAGGGAUGCGGAAUUCCAGGUGUAGCGGUGAAAUGCGUAGAUAUCUGGAGGAACACCGGUGGCGAAGGCGGCAUCCUGGACCGGCAUUGACGCUGAGGCGCGAAAGCCAGGGGAGCAAACGGG
rnacentral:rRNA from 1 species